rnacentral:rRNA from 1 species
AUUGAACGCUGGCGGCAGGCCUAACACAUGCAAGUCGAGCGCGAAAGGUUUUCGGACUGAGUAAAGCGGCGGACGGGUGAGUAAUGCAUGGGAAUCUGCCUGGUAGUGGGGGACAACGUUUCGAAAGGAACGCUAAUACCGCAUACGCCCUACGGGGGAAAGGGGGGGAUCUUCGGACCUCUCGCUAUCAGAUGAGCCCAUGUCAGAUUAGCUUGUUGGUGAGGUAAAGGCUCACCAAGCCGACGAUCUGUAGCUGGUCUGAGAGGACGACCAGCCACACUGGGACUGAGACACGGCCCAGACUCCUACGGGAGGCAGCAGUGGGGAAUUUUGGACAAUGGGCGCAAGCCUGAUCCAGCAAUGCCGCGUGCAGGAUGAAGGCCUCGGUUGUAAACUGCUUUGUACGGUAACGAAACGGUACG